rnacentral:rRNA from 1 species
GGGUCAGUAGGUUGGUCGUGCCACCGGUACGUACUGGUCUCACUGAUUCCUCCUUCCUGAAGAACCGUAAUGCCAUUAAUUUGGUGUUGCGGGGAAACAGGACUGUUACUUUGAAAAGAUUAGAGUGUUUAAAGCAAGCUAACGCUUGAAUACAUUAGCAUGGAUAAUGAAAUAGGACGAUCGAUCCUAUUUUGUUGGUUUCUAGGAUUGACGUA